rnacentral:rRNA from 1 species
UACGGAGGGUGCAAGCGUUAUCCGGAUUCACUGGGUUUAAAGGGUGCGUAGGUGGUUUGGUAAGUCAGUGGUGAAAUCUCCGAGCUUAACUUGGAAACUGCCAUUGAUACUAUUAAUCUUGAAUAUUGUGGAGGUCAGCGGAAUAUGUCAUGUAGCGGUGAAAUGCUUAGAGAUGACAUAGAACACCAAUUGCGAAGGCAGCUGGCUACACAUAUAUUGACACUGAGGCACGAAAGCGUGGGGAUCAAACAGG